rnacentral:rRNA from 1 species
GACGAACGCUGGCGGCGUGCUUAACACAUGCAAGUCGAACGAUGAACCCGGAGCUUGCUCCGGUGGAUUAGUGGCGAACGGGUGAGUAACACGUGAGUAACCUGCCCUUGACUCUGGGAUAACUGCGGGAAACUGUAGCUAAUACCGGAUACGACCCUCGGCGGCAUCGCCAGGGGGUGGAAAGAAUUUCGGUCAAGGAUGGACUCGCGGCCUAUCAGCUAGUUGGUGAGGUAACGGCUCACCAAGGCGACGAUCAGUAGCUGGUCGGAGAGGACGAUCAGCCACACUGGGACUGAGACACGGCCCAGACUCCUACGGGAGGCAGCAGUGGGGAAUUUUGGACAAUGGGGGCAACCCUGAUCCAGCAAUGCCGCGUGAGUGAAGAAGGCCUUCGGGUUGUAAAGCUCUUUUAGUAGGGAAGAAGCGAAAGUGACGGUACCUGCAGAAAAAGCACCGGCUAACUACGUGCCAGCCGCCGCAGUAA